rnacentral:rRNA from 1 species
UACGAGAGGUGCAAGCGUCAUUCGGAAUUAUUGGGCGUAAAGGGUGUGUAGGUGGCUUAUUAAGUCGAUUGUUAAAGAUCUCGGCCUAACUGAGAAAAUGCGGUCGAAACUGGUGAGCUAGAGGAUGGAAGAGAGAAGUGGAAUUCUCGGAGUAGCGGUAAAAUGCGUAGAUCUCGAGAGGAACACCGAUGGCGAAGGCAGCUUCUUGGUCCAUUCCUGACACUGAAACACGAAAGCGUGGGGAGCAAACAGG